rnacentral:lncRNA from 1 species
CAUUUGUUUCCAUGUUAUUUGGAUUCAAUGUCUCAUAAUUUUAAGUUGACAUGUGAAGUCAUAUGAUCUUCGCUUUUUUAAUUAUUGUGUUGGUGCAUACUGGCAAUAUAAAUAGUCUAACUGAUUAACAAGUUUUUUUUUAUCUCAUGGAAGUCAACUUCUAACACAGGUAACUAAAAUAAACGAACGUUUAUAAUUUUAUCCCACGGAACCGCUUUGUUUUUGUUCAUUUGAUUUUGUCAGACAAAUACAGAGUUACUUCUCUUUUCAUAUAUAUUUUUUGGAAUAUUUCAGUUUUCCCAUUUGAAUCGUGUUCAAUGACGGAUGAAAAGCAAUACAAAUACACAAGUACUCUUUGAACUGUUUAAAAGUUAAAUAUAGUGUGUCAUUCUAAAUCGUGAUACUGCGUUUCACAUUUGCACUUCUUCAUUUUAUAAGUUUUGAAUAUGAAGCGGUCUUAGGUAAAAUAUUUAUGAUUAAAGUAAAUAUAUUGUUUAUUGAUUUACUUUUUAGAUUUAGAACGGAGAAUUUCUGAAGCUAGUUCGACUUUGAUAUGACGGAGACAUGAACACUAUUUGAUUUUUUUUUUCAUAACAAUUUAUUUUUCGUUCUUUGUUGUAUAUAAAUUUAAAUCACAUUCUUCGCAGAC